CUUUGUUUGCUGUAAAUGUGUGUGUGGGACAGACUAACAAGAGCCUUACCCAAGCUAUUGUGGUUGAGUUUUUUUCUACGUCUACUAGGAGCCUAGCUUUAUCAAUAAUGAUGAUGUUGGGGCGUAUCGGCACACUGCUAGGAAAUGUAGCAUUCCCGCUACUGCUCAAUAUAAGUUGUGAAGUACCAUUUUUUCUUAUAUCAGGAAUUAUGUUAAGUUUGGUGUUUGUAGGUUAUUUCUUACCUACAAAGUAGGCAGUAAAAACAGGGU
rnacentral:lncRNA from 1 species